rnacentral:lncRNA from 1 species
GGAACAAGCUAGGGUUUUAACAAGAUGCUCAUCAUCAUUAUGCAUUCGAAAUUCCAUCAUGCACAGAACAAAAAAAAUCAACAUACCAAUAGCAUCAUUAGACCAAGAAUAAGCAUAAUCCAACACCCAUUCUCCUUUAAAAACAAACUAACUAAAGAGCAGUAAACCAAAACACACAUGAACAUCAAAUUUCAGAUUGACAUAUCUUUACUAACAGCUAACCAUUUUCAACAACUUAUAGCUCACGACAAUCAACAAAGAGGGAUCUUC